CUAGCUCUAUUUCUCCCCGUUGGAUAACAGCCCACAAUCCCCCAUUUUCAAUCCCUUCCCAAGUCUCCUUCCUCCUCCUCCACCUCCGCCUCCGCCCAUCGCCGGAUGGAAGCUUCUCCGAUAUACUGUCUUCCCAAUGACACUUUCCAUCAGAUCUUCCUAUCCCUCCCUCUCCGUCAAAUUAUGAUCUGCCGUUGCGUCUGCAAGCUGUUCGACCAAAUUAUCUCAUCCCCUUUCUUCAUUGACCUCAUCUCCAUCCGUCCCCCUCUUCACCUCAUCGCCCUUCGGCCGCCGCAUCACCACCACCACCACCACAGUCACGAGAGCCUCUCUGCCGCCGCCGCCAAUUCUUCUCUCCACGUCUAUGACCCUGAUCAGAAUCAGUGGCUUCGUUUCUCCCUCGAUUUUUUGCCCUUUCGAUUCCCUCACCCUGUCGCGUCCUCUCUCGGUCUUGUUUAUCUCUGGGGUGACUCGCCGGAGUCUCCUGAGUCGAAUAAGUCGCUUGUAGUUUGUAACCCUUUGACUCGCCAGUUCCGGGUCUUGCCGCAGCUCGGCUCGGCCUGGUCCCGACAUGGCUCGGUUUUGGUUGACUCUGCUAAUAGAGUAAUGGUUUUGACGGAGCUUGCGGCUCUUUAUUUCUCUGGGUCGAAUCAGUGGAGUAAAUUCUCUUCUAACCUGCCUUCGAAACCUCGAAGCCCUGUGUUGGUUUCUAACUCGGUUUAUGCUCUUUGUGAUGUGGGUUCUCCGUGGAGAAGCCAAUGGAAGUUGUUUUCUUGUACUAUUACUGAUCUCAAGAGCUCCCAGAAUUGGGGUCGGCUUGAAAGGCACGAAUGGGGGGAUGUUUUUGACAUUUUGAAACGGCCUCGUUUGGUCCGAGGGACGGGGAACCAAAUCUUGAUGGUGGGUGGGCUCAAAUCGUCGUUUUCGUUGACUGCUUCGUGCUCGACGAUUCUGAUUUUAAGGUUGGAUUUGGAUACAUUGGAGUGGGAUGAGGCGGGUCGUAUGCCUGUUCAGAUGUUUCAGUGCUUUCAAGGGUCAAGUAAGUUUAAGGUUUUUGGUGGUGGUGAUCGGAUUUGCUUUUCGGCGAAGAGAAUGGGGAUGAUGGCAUUGUGGGAUUGUUGUUCUGGAAAAGCAGAGUGGCGGUGGAUAUGUGGGGUGCCUGGAUAUAGCGAUGGGCUUUACAGAGGAUUCGUGUUCGAGGCAAGGUUCACGGCCCUGCUGCCUUAAGUUGCCUGCCUAGACGUGGUUUGCUUGCUAAGUAAAAUUAGUGUCGAUAACCGUUAUUAAGCUGGUGAAGACAGUUAUGAGAUGGUGCUUAGCCUUAGAAAGUUUGAAUGUGAAGGAGCAAAAGUUAAUCACUUCCAUCCUCUUAAUGAGAACAGUAGGGGUAAGGAGGGACACAAAUACAGACACAACACAUGGAUAAGACAAGACAGAUACAAUGAUAUGAAUUUCUAAUAUAGGAAAAAGGGGUGGAGGUUGUGAGAUAGGCCCUUUGUACCAUCAACAAUCCAAAAUUCGAGUUGGCUGACUUCUCAAGAGCGAAAAAUAAGCUCCCUUAAUUUGGUGAAGGGUUUCUUGAUGGGAAGUGACAAAUCACUCUCAAUCAUCUCAAGCUUGUGAAUGACAUCUUGAUUUUCAGCUAAGAAGAGGAAGAGAAGUUCGGAAGUGAUUCAGAGCUAAAAUCAAUUGGGAGAAGACAACUAUCAAUGGCAUAGAGAUAGAUCCUAAUUCCGUUCUAUUCAUUGUGAAUGACAUCUUGCUUUCUAUUAAGCAUUCACUAAUUCCGUUCUAUCCAUUGUAGCUUUCUUAUCGAAUCCACUGCCAGAAGGCAACGCAAAGAUUGUUUGUUUGUUGGCAAGUUAAGGACUCGAGCACUCCCAACUUGAGUUGAAGCUGGAUUGUGGUGAGCUGCCCUUCAAAUAUAUUGUGAAGGAUCUGAGAACAGAUUCCUGCUUGGGGAAUAGAUUCUAGCAUGGCUCGGCUUGACUUGACUUGACUUGACUCGAAUUAUAUGGUUUGCAAUGGAAGUUUUUAGUGAGCCCAGAGGCUUCUGAGAGGCGACGAGGGAGAAUUUCUAAGCUAUUUGGGUGGGCAUCCUGCAUCUGCUUCUUUCAGGCAAAUUAUAAAAUGAAAGCUUUGAUGAGAGGUUUAACCACAUAGAUUAAUUGGCAUUUAUUGGCAUCUCUUGGCAUUGGCUUUAGUUGUUGUAUACAUGUAGAUAUGCCACGGAAGUUACUGAUCGUUCAUAUACAUCUAUUACCAAAUGAUAUGCAAGGAAUUAAAUUUGAUGGCGCUUGAUGUU